rnacentral:rRNA from 1 species
AUUGAACGCUGGCGGCAUGCCUUACACAUGCAAGUCGAACGGCAGCACGGGAGCAAUCCUGGUGGCGAGUGGCGAACGGGUGAGUAAUAUAUCGGAACGUGCCCAGUCGUGGGGGAUAACGUAGCGAAAGCUACGCUAAUACCGCAUACGAUCUAUGGAUGAAAGCGGGGGAUCGCAAGACCUCGCGCGAUUGGAGCGGCCGAUAUCAGAUUAGGUAGUUGGUGAGGUAAAGGCUCACCAAGCCGACGAUCUGUAGCUGGUCUGAGAGGACGACCAGCCACACUGGGACUGAGACACGGCCCAGACUCCUAUGGGAGGGCAGCAGUGGGGAAUUUUUGGACAAUGGGCGCAAGCCUGAUCCAGCAAUGCCGCGUGCAGGAUGAAGGCCUUCGGUU